rnacentral:sRNA from 1 species
CGAGGAAUCAACGCACAAUAUAACAUCUGCUUCAAAAAGCACUGGCUGUGAGAGACCCGUCGCCCUUGUGGUGAUGUGAGGUUUCCAUGACCUAAGUUGGCCGUCAGCAGAAUGGAGAGCAGUUUUGGAGAAUCUUGGGUGCGAUUUGUCUCAGUCCAUGAGAUAGGUUGCAAUGAUUAGCCGUACAU